rfam:Medicago truncatula strain A17 chromosome 8, whole genome shotgun sequence.
AUACCUUUCUCGGCCUUUUGGCUAAGAUCAAGUGUAGUAUCUGUUCUUAUCAGUUUAAUAUCUGAUAUGUGGGCCAAUGGUCCACUUGAUAUUAAAUUUAUUUAUUGAGGGGGAGAGGCCACCACGGUAGCUUGCUAUUGGGCCUCUCUGUGUCGCCUUUGUGUUGCACUAUAGCAAUGGUCUGGCGCACCCCAC